rnacentral:rRNA from 1 species
GUCGAGAAUUUUUCACAAUGGGCGCAAGCCUGAUGGAGCGACGCCGCGUGGGGGAUGAAUGGCUUCGGCCCGUAAACCCCUGUCAUUUGCGAUCAAGGCGCAUGAUUUAAAAGAUGAUGCGUUGAUAGUAGCGAAAGAGGAAGGGACGGCUAACUCUGUGCCAGCAGCCGCGGUAAUACAGAGGUCCCGAGCGUUGUUCGGAUUCACUGGGCGUAAAGGGUGCGUAGGUGGUGGGGUAAGUCGGAUGUGAAAUCUCGGAGCUCAACUCCGAAAUGGCAUUGGAAACUGCCCUGCUAGAGGGUCGGAGGGGGGACUGGAAUUCUCGGUGUAGCAGUGAAAUGCGUAGAUAUCGAGAGGAACACCAGUGGCGAAGGCGAGUCCCUGGACGACUCCUGACACUGAGGCACGAAAGCUAGGGGAGCAAACAGGAUUAGAAACCCGGGUAGUCC